AUUACCAACAUUUCUGAAGAUUCCGGUAACUUAGGUAAAUUAACAGUAGCGUUGCAACCAUAGUUACCUUAUAAACAACAAACAUAGACAUACCCAGCUGGCCAUUUCUAAAAGUAACUGCCCUUGUGGGCAUGCCUCUGUCAGAAAGAUAUGGAAACAGUCCACCAAGAAUCAGGUCCUCUGUCAGAAAGAUAUGGAAACAGUCCACCAAGAAUCAGGUCCUCUGUCAGAAAGAUAUGGAAACAGUCGACCAAGAAUCAGGUCCUCUGUCAGAAAGAUAUGGAAACAGUCGACCAAGAAUCAGGUCCUCUGUCAGAAAGAUAUGGAAACAGUCCACCAAGAAUCAGGUCCUCUGUCAGAAAGAUAUGGAAACAGUCCACCAAGAAUCAGGUCCUCUGUCAGAAAGAUAUGGAAACAGUCCACCAAGAAUCAGGUCCUCUGUCAGAAAGAUAUGGAAACAGUCCACCAAGAAUCAGGUCCUCUGUCAGAAAGAUAUGGAAACAGUCCACCAAGAAUCAGGUCCUCUGUCAGAAAGAUAUGGAAACAGUCCACCAAGAAUCAGGUCCUCUGUCAGAAAGAUAUGGAAACAGUCCACCAAGAAUCAGGUCCUCUGUCAGAAAGAUAUGGAAACAGUCCACCAAGAAUCAGGUCCUCUGUCAGAAAGAUAUGGAAACAGUCCACCAAGA